AAAAAAAAAAAAAGAUACUCCUUUUACCUUCUCUGGCCAGCCCAGCAAAGAAGAGAUUUCCGUUUUCAGAACCCCAAAAGUGCUUACACUCUCUAAAAUUUCUAGGGAAACGGCUCCAACAGCUCUCUUCAGGAACACAGACCAGUGUUUUACAGCUCUUCUGCCGGGAAAGUUUUUCUUGACCUCUCACCCUCAUCCCUCCUGCUGCCAUGUAAACUUCUUCUUUGCUGAUUUGGAGAACAUUCUCUUGCCACCUGAUUCCUGAAAUCAAAUCUAUCCUCGAAAUAUUAAAGGCUUACCAUCUUUGAGCAGAUUCACAGCAAGGAAAGCAAGGAAUACAAAACUGCAAAAGAAAAAAAAACAAAAAACAAAACAACAACCAAGACAGUGGCAAUAUCACUGGAAUAAGUGAGGAAUCUCCCCAAGAACCGCCUUGCAAAGGACAACAUGAACUUGGAUACAUAAACUCUGGGAUGCUUCUUAAAAAGAUUACCUCCCUAGCUUAUGUCACUCUUUGUACAGGUAUGUGUCAUUCAGAAACCUAGGGGACGUCAAGUAUGGUUUGUGCCUAUAAGGAGCUUAUAUUCUUAGAGAAGAUACAUGAAUACACAAAGACUUUCAUGAGAAAUCUUUGCUAGAAUUGUGCUGAUAUUUGAGAAAGCCUCCAAACUCAUGAGUCAUCAUAGCAUGUGGUUAAGAUUAUGCCAUUUGGAGCCAACAGAUGCAGUUUAUGUCCCGGCUCUGUUGCCCAGCUGGGAUACCACCGGUGGUUAUUUAAAGUCUCCGGAGCUUAAGUUACUUGCCUGUAUAAUGGGAGGAUGGUGUUUACUCCACGAGGCUGCUUUAAAGAUGAAUGUGGACCAUGGCACACAGCUCUUCUGAUUUCAAAGAAAAUAUCUACAAACAUUUGGAUUAUUAUUUUUUUCCCCCAGCAAAUGGAGGGCUAAGGAAUAAAUUGCUGCCUUCAAACUUUUGGACUUAGAUUACAGACUGGGGUUUAAGAUGUUCUCGGGUUCCUGUGAAGAGAAUAGUAAAAAAGACCUGGCAUUUCUUUGCUAUAAAAAAAAUGCUAGGACCAGAUCUCACGAAGAACUUCCUCUGCAGAUGGUUAGGCAGAGCAACAGACGAACAGAGA